rnacentral:lncRNA from 1 species
AAACUAACAAAACCCCACAAAACUAGGAUCAGCACACCAUGAAGAUCAUUCACAAAAAUGUAUAAAUCUACUAAAAAUCAGCAUAACAUGGAUCAAUAGAAACACAAUAGCCAGAAACGGUAAAAUCUGACAUGCCUACUCAUGAGAAACAUACCAAAAGAAACAAGCCCACAUCUACGUGAUCCUUACUAAAAGAAACAAAAACAUUUACCAGAAACAAACAAACGUCUACAAUAAUACCACAAUUCACAAUUAAUUAUUCUCGUUAAGCUCCCAAACCCUACACCAGAAACCCUAAUGCCACCACAGCAAGACACAAAACUAACAAUAACACGAUCCAAAAGGCAUACAGACGAAAAAUCAAAGAAAAAACCUCUUCAAUAUCAUACUUUUUAAGUGGAAAACAAUCAUAAUUUUGAACCACUUAUUCAAACAAUCACAACAUAAGACUCAAGGACCCCACAACAUAAGACUCAAGGACCCCCCACACUUUUUAAGUGGAAAACAAUCAUAAUUUUGAACCACUUAUUCAAACAAUCACAACAUAAGACUCAAGGACCCCCCACAAAAAAAAAAAAACCGAUGCUUUAAAGAGAGGGACAUUACCUGAUAGUAAUCGAGAGAUGGCAAGAAUACCAACAGAAACUCG